GACGAACGCUGGCGGCGUGCUUAACACAUGCAAGUCGAACGGAAAGGCCCUGCUUUUGUGGGGUGCUCGAGUGGCGAACGGGUGCGUAACACGUGAGUAACCUGCCCUUGACUUUGGGAUAACUUCAGGAAACUGGGGCUAAUACCGGAUAGGAGCUCCUGCUGCAUGGUGGGGGUUGGAAAGUUUCGGCGGUUGGGGAUGGACUCGCGGCUUAUCAGCUUGUUGGUGGGGUAGUGGCUUACCAAGGCUUUGACGGGUAGCCGGCCUGAGAGGGUGACCGGCCACAUUGGGACUGAGAUACGGCCCAGACUCCUACGGGAGGCAGCAGUGGGGAAUAUUGCACGAUGGGCGGAAGCCUGAUGCAGCAACGCCGCGUGCGGGAUGACGGCCUUCGGGUUGUAAACCGCUUUCGCCUGUGACGAAGCGUGAGUGACGGUAAUGGGUAAAGAAGCACCGGCUAACUACGUG
rnacentral:rRNA from 1 species